AGUUUGAUCCUGGCUCAGGACGAACGCUGGCGGCGUGCCUAAUACAUGCAAGUAGAACGCUGAAGAGAGGAGCUUGCUCUUCUUGGACGAGUUGCGAACGGGUGAGUAACGCGUAGGUAACCUGCCUUGUAGCGGGGGAUAACUAUUGGAAACGAUAGCUAAUACCGCAUAACAAUGGAUGACACAUGUCAUUUAUUUGAAAGGGGCAAUUGCUCCACUACAAGAUGGACCUGCGUUGUAUUAGCUAGUAGGUGAGGUAAUGGCUCACCUAGGCGACGAUACAUAGCCGACCUGAGAGGGUGAUCGGCCACACUGGGACUGAGACACGGCCCAGACUCCUACGGGAGGCAGCAGUAGGGAAUCUUCGGCAAUGGGGGCAACCCUGACCGAGCAACGCCGCGUGAGUGAAGAAGGUUUUCGGAUCGUAAAGCUCUGUUGUAAGUCAAGAACGGGUGUGAGAGUGGAAAGUUCACACUGUGACGGUAGCUUACCAGAAAGGGACGGCUAACUACGUGCCAGCAGCCGCGGUAAUACGUAGGUCCCGAGCGUUGUCCGGAUUUAUUGGGCGUAAAGCGAGCGCAGGCGGUUUGAUAAGUCUGAAGUUAAAGGCUGUGGCUCAACCAUAGUUCGCUUUGGAAACUGUCAAACUUGAGUGCAGAAGGGGAGAGUGGAAUUCCAUGUGUAGCGGUGAAAUGCGUAGAUAUAUGGAGGAACACCGGUGGCGAAAGCGGCUCUCUGGUCUGUAACUGACGCUGAGGCUCGAAAGCGUGGGGAGCGAACAGGAUUAGAUACCCUGGUAGUCCACGCCGUAAACGAUGAGUGCUAGGUGUUGGAUCCUUUCCGGGAUUCAGUGCCGCAGCUAACGCAUUAAGCACUCCGCCUGGGGAGUACGACCGCAAGGUUGAAACUCAAAGGAAUUGACGGAAGGG
rnacentral:rRNA from 1 species